GGCUCUGUGGCGGAACGGCAGACGCGGCGGAUUUAAAAUCCGCUGCCCACAUGGGCGUCCGGGUUCGACCCCCGGCGGAGCCACCA
rnacentral:tRNA from 1 species